GUGUGGGACAGCAAGGGGGGCUGGGCUGGUGGCUCUUGAGGUCACUGUGCUCAUCUGUCACCUCUGAGGCUGGCUGCAGAGCCACUUCAGUGGAUUCUCCCGUCUUUGCCAAGCAGCUGCUUCUACCCAGUAUUCCAGAAAUGGGAUGAAUGGUAUCUGAGUUAGGCUGUUGAAGGAAACCCUUCAAUCCAAGAUGGCGGGAGGUUUCUCUUCACCCACGACCUUCACGUCCUCUGAUGCCUGGAAACACCCCAAUGAAGCUGGCUCCUCCUUUCAUGCUUUCCUCCCCAGCAGCAUUUCUGUGUGCCUCGUUCUCAACAAGACAGCAUUCACUGGAGAGAAUGCGCAGUCUUGAUCCAUCACAAAUCUUUUUUUGGGCGUUACAAACACUGCUCAUCCAACUUGUCAGUGAGCCAUGAAGACUUGACCUGAGGCUUCAAGGCAGAAUCUCCUAGGAAGGAACCCCAGGUGCCAGGAGCCCCGGGAGGACCAAGGCAUCUGGCUUCUGUUCUCGGCCUUCGAUUCCCUUUUUGUGCAGUAAACGGACUUGACCUUGAGGCGUUUGUUAUAGUCAGAGGCUACCAUCACUUGCCAAUGAAUAUGCGUUUUUAGAUCCCAGGGCCAGCAGUAAAUUUACACCCUUACUUUUUUAAUAAAUGCAUGAGGUGAGAACAAUAUUUUGUGUUUGUUGGGGACACAUAUUUGGAACUCAGUGCAGUAGACAUGGGCUGUCCUGGCUGUGUCCCUCACUUAGGUGCUGCUUGCUUAUCUGCGCAGUGUUUUGUCCUUGGGCCUGUUAAUUUUUUCUUCACUUAGUAGGUCUCCUCAAAAAGACUGAGCCUCCUUGAAGAAUGUGGCCUCCUUUUUUUCUUGUCUUUAUAUCCCCAGGGCCUGGCACAAAGUAGAAACUCAAUAAAUGUUAGUCAAGCGAAUGAAUAAA